AAAGUCGAACGGUGAAGCAGGAGCUUGCUCUUGUGGAUCAGUGGCGAACGGGUGAGUAACACGUGAGCAACCUGCCCCUGACUCUGGGAUAAGCGCUGGAAACGGCGUCUAAUACUGGAUAUGUGACGUGACCGCAUGGUCUGCGUUUGGAAAGAUUUUUCGGUUGGGGAUGGGCUCGCGGCCUAUCAGCUUGUUGGUGAGGUAAUGGCUCACCAAGGCGUCGACGGGUAGCCGGCCUGAGAGGGUGACCGGCCACACUGGGACUGAGACACGGCCCAGACUCCUACGGGAGGCAGCAGUGGGGAAUAUUGCACAAUGGGCGAAAGCCUGAUGCAGCAACGCCGCGUGAGGGAUGACGGCCUUCGGGUUGUAAACCUCUUUUAGCAGGGAAGAAGCGAAAGUGACGGUACCUGCAGAAAAAGCGCCGGCUAACUACGUGCCAGCAGCCGCGGUAAUACGUAGGGCGCAAGCGUUAUCCGGAAUUAUUGGGCGUAAAGAGCUCGUAGGCGGUUUGUCGCGUCUGCUGUGAAAUCCCGAGGCUCAACCUCGGGCCUGCAGUGGGUACGGGCAGACUAGAGUGCGGUAGGGGAGAUUGGAAUUCCUGGUGUUAGCGGUGGAAUGCGCAGAUUAUCAAGGAGGAACACCGAUGGGCGAAGGCAGAUUUUCUGGGCCCGUAACUGACGCUGAAGGAGCGAAAAGGGUGGGGAGCAAACCAGCUUAAAAUACCCCUGGUUAGUCCCACCCGUAAAACGGUGGGAACUU
rnacentral:rRNA from 1 species